GAUGAAGAACGCAGCGAAAUGCGAUAAGUAAUGUGAAUUGCAGAAUUCAGUGAAUCAUCGAAUCUUUGAACGCACAUUGCGCCCGUCAGUAUUCUGGCGGGCAUGCCUGUUCGAGCGUCAUUACGCCCCUCAAGUCCCCUGUGGACUUGGUGUUGGGGAUCGGCGAGGCUGGUUUUCCAGCACAGCCGUCCCUUAAAUUAAUUGGCGGUCUCGCCUUGGCCCUCCUCUGCGCAGUAGUAAAACACUCGCAACAGGAGCCCGGCGCGGUCCACUGCCGUAAAACCCCCCAACUUUUUAUAGUUGACCUCGAAUCAGGUAGGACUACCCGCUGAACUUAAGCAUAUCAAUAAGCGGAGGA
rnacentral:misc_RNA from 1 species